rnacentral:tRNA from 1 species
UACACUUUAGUAUGUGAUGUAUGAGAGUUUUUGAUACUUUAGGGAAUAGUUUAAAUCUAUUAAGUGUAU